UGGGGAAUAUUGCACAAUGGGCGCAAGCCUGAUGCAGCCAUGCCGCGUGUAUGAAGAAGGCCUUCGGGUUGUAAAGUACUUUCAGCGGGGAGGAAGGUGUUGUGGUUAAUAACCACAGCAAUUGACGUUACCCGCAGAAGAAGCACCGGCUAACUCCGUGCCAGCAGCCGCGGUAAUACGGAGGGUGCAAGCGUUAAUCGGAAUUACUGGGCGUAAAGCGCACGCAGGCGGUUUGUCAAGUCGGAUGUGAAAUCCCCGGGCUCAACCUGGGAACUGCAUCCGAAACUGGCAGGCUUGAGUCUUGUAGAGGGGGGUAGAAUUCCAGGUGUAGCGGUGAAAUGCGUAGAGAUCUGGAGGAAUACCGGCGGCGAAGGCGGCCCCCUGGACAAAGACUGACGCUCAGGUGCGAAAGCGUGGGGAGCAAACA
rnacentral:rRNA from 1 species